rnacentral:lncRNA from 1 species
CGGUGCUGCUCGGCUCGUUCGGAAGCCCCACAUGAUCGGAGGGCUGGCGGGGACGAGGCUGGACAGGGACGGGCCCAGAGACAGCAGGCGGCCUGUCCAGCCCUGCGUGGGCCCCAGGGCCUCAGCCCGAGACCCUGCGUCCCUUGGGGGAUAAACACGUCGAGACGGUGUUAAAGGCCUGGCAGCCAGUGAUUCCAGAGCAGCCGCUUUGCUCACGUGUUGUCUCUCCAGCGCCCGGAGGCCCGGACGUGCACGGCUCUGCUGAGCCACCGCAUCAUGAGCAGGCAUUGUUCUCACAGGUUUGCGAACUGAAUCCACGCCCUCAGUGCCUGCUGCAUCCUUCGCCCCAAGGCUCCUCCCUGGUAACCACCUGGCUGGCCUGGCCCUCGUCUGUGUCAUGCAGGGCUGGGCACACGCUGCCCAGCGGCUGGAUGUGCGGCCCUCAGACCGGAGCGGAGGCGUGUCUGGGAAAUCCGGACCAGGUGCUCCCGGGUGACAGGUGGAGAUCUUCAUCCUUCAGCGUGGGAUUAACUUACGAACGUGUGCAGAUUUAUCAAGUCAUCAACUGUACCCUUUAUUUUUAUUUUUAUUUUUUUUUUGGUCUUUUUGCCAUUUCUUGGACUGCUCCCGCGGCAUAUGGAGGUUCCUAGGCUAGGGGUCGAAUCGGAGCUGCAGCUGCCAGCCUACGCCGGAGCCACAGCAAUGCGGGAUCCAAGCCGAGUCUGCAACCUACACCACAGCUCACGGCAAUGCAGAUCCUUAACCCACUGAGCAAGGGCAGGGACCGAACCCUCAGCCUCAUGGUUCCUAGUUGGAUUCGUUAACCACUGCGCCACGACGGGAACUCCCGAUUGUACCCUUUGAAUACCUAAUGAUUUUAUUUGUCACUGGUACCUCAGUGAAGCUGGAAAAAGAUAUUUUUUUGUGGUCAGGCUUCCAUCAGCUUCCCACAUGGGGGCCGAGGCUCCAGCUGCCCAGCAGGGAUCACGCGUCUUUUCUCGGGCAGCAGACAGAGGUACGAGGGGACCCCCACGUCUGCGCGUCCUUUCUCCGGGCGGAGGGCCGUGAGGACGAACACGGGAAGGUGAUUCGCAGCCUCAGCCUCUCACCUGGGAGGCUGGGCCGGUGGCAUCUGGGCCUUUCUGGGCAGGAGCAGGCAGACGGCGGCUGGGAGUUGGGAGUUAGAGCCGAGGGUCGCCCUUCACUCACCUUAAAGAUGCUUGCGGAGCAGGACGGGUUGAUGCCGAAGGCCCAGCGCGUCUGCACCGCAGGAGGAAGGUGGUUAGAAGAUGUUCUUUUUCUUCCCACUGAACGUGCCUCUGGCUGUGGGACACGUUCUCCCACAAGGGAGGGGACAGGCUCAGGGCUGCUCGGCCUCGGGGAUCCCGGGGCCACGAUGGGAUGGAUGGGGUGGAAGGAACACAGCGCUUGCGGGCGGGGGUCGCUGUGGGCCUGGGGCAUCACUCUCGUCGCACCUUGAAGCCCUGGAACCCAGACAGAGCCGUUCUGGAUUCUAGCUGCUCCCAGCUGCUUCAACGACGUGUGUGAAGCCCCGUCUUCCCGGCCGGACCGUUUGAGAAGAUGUGGCCAUGGUGGGGGUGCAGGACUUGGCCUUGCCCACGAGACGUUAGCGAGGACCGGUCAAGGCGACGAAGGCCCAGCUCCCUCCCCUCACGCACUGCCGGGGCCUUCACACCUAAGCCUCCCUCCAGAAGGAAACGCAGGGACCCUGGUCCCCCCCCCCCCCCCCCCCCCCCCCCCCCCCCNAUCCCGGGUCCCUUCCUGCUUCUCGGGAGGGGAGUGCAGCCUGAGGACCUGCUGGGAAACGACCGCCUGGAGACGGGCCCUGUCUCUGGAGCCUGUCACCGAACCUCGGGGGGCGAAGAGACGUGGCGGGGGACUGAGUGAGGACCUGAGAUGGAGACGAAAUCCUGGAGAUCAGGGGCCCUCGGUGCCCCGCGGCGCCCUUCGCUGGGAGGCAGAGGGACGAUGGACAGCACAGAAGGGGAUGGCGGCUGGAGCCGGACUCUGGGCUGCAGGAUGUGGAGACGGAGGCAGGGGCUCAGGCCAGAGCCCGAGAGGCUGAAACAGAAGAGGCGCUUCUGUGCAGCCCAGUGGAGCGCAGUGCUUCUGACCGCGGCCUCCCAGCCCCUGGACACGACAAGAAGAAAGGUGGCCUCAAGUCCCUGCGUCCGUGGGAAGGGGUGACAGCAGCGCAGGAAGCCCAGACGGGGCGUGGGGGUCAGCCGAGGGCCAAGGUGACUCUUCUCAGCCUCCCCUGAAGCUGCCCGACGUCCUGGGUCCGACCCAUGGGAGCCCCUGCGGGCAGGGCAGCCACCUCUGGAGAGUCUUCCUGGAGGAAGGGCCCGACCCCCGUCCUUCCUACCGGCGGGGCCCACGGGUCCCCUGGGAUGUGCAGCCAUCGGCACCAGGAGGUGAAUCUGGGGGUCAAGUCUAUGCACGGCGGUCAACAAGACGGGAGAAGCCUGGGACCAGACCCGGAGCUCCCCUGCCCCGGGCUGCCUGCCCCGUAUCUCACGUCUGGGAGCGUCCACUGUGUUCUGUUGACACAAGGGCCGGCGGGCCUGUCCCUCAGCCCACUCUGAUCACCACGAGACAAACAGGUCGCCGGCACGGCUCCUCGUCCGCCUUCUCCCCAGGGCCCUGGGCAGCGCCUGGGUUUCUUCCUCACGACAGCUUCAAGGACCAGCUUCACGACCUAAAUGCAAGGUCCCUCCCAGACCACCCGCCUCCCACUUUAGGGGAAAAUAGGAGAAGGAGUGAGCCUGCCCCCCUGUGAACUCGCUUCACCUCUAAAGUUUCCCCAGGCGUUGGGCUGCUUGGAAUCACGGAUCAGUAUUUCUUUGCUCUUUCUUUGGACGGUUGUCUUUAAUUUCAUGUUCGUCUCGCGGUGUGCAUCGCCGGCUCGUGGGAGAUGGGAGCCUGCUCUCUAGGGAUACAGCUGCGUCCGCACCGCCAGCGUUGCUCUCAGCGUAGCAUUUUACGGGGGCACGUGCGCCCCUCUGAUGGCCUCUUACUCGAGCGUCUUAAAAACCUAACAGUAGUGCGAUUCACGAAGUCCCACAUCCCUGAAGCGCGUUUUUCCUUCUGUUGAUGGAACAAAGGCUUCCAUUGCUUUCAUGACUUAGUUUCCAAAUGUCUCUUUGUGAGGCCAGCGGAGAUGGAGUUACAAGUGUUGGCGUCUGGCUGGUGACCCAACACAUCCCGCUCGCCCGGAGUGAGAGGAGAUUAAAGCCGGCCCUUGGAUGCCAGUGCCGCGGGAAUUUGGAGAAACGCACCGACAGUAACGGCGGCAUUUAAUUAUGUGCAGCUUAUCGUGGUGUGAUGACUAAAGCCCUUGAGACGCUUGUGAAAACAGAUUCCGCGGCCCGGGUUUGUACCGUCCUGUCUUGAACCCGGCCAGGAAAAGACAUGUCUUCUUUUUCCCUUUCCUCAGCAUCUUGGCACCGUCAGUUCCCAUCCCCGCCAAGAUCUCGCAGCGCAGAGAGCGGCGAUUGAGAAGAGCUCUUUUAAAAGGCCGACUGCACAGUGGUUGGCUUGGGCCUGAAGAUGACUCCUCAGCUCCGCUCUUUCAGCGGCCUGCUUUCGGCGGGUUCCGCCAGCUGCCUCGCGAGGAUGACGGCUCGUUAUCCCUUCCCUGGCCCUUGGCGCCCCGCAAGCCAUGUUUCCUCGCUGACGGGGUGGCGCUAACUGAGUAUGACCUUUGCAGAAAUAGGUCGCAGAGGGUCAGCGUUUCCUAAUCGAAUGUGAUGUUUGAAUUCAAUGAAUUGGACUGACUUAGAUUAUUUUCCUUUUUAGAGCCGCACUUGCACCUGACGUAAGUUCCUGGACCAGGGGUCAAUUUGGCGCUGUAGCUGCCGGCCUACGCCACACAGCAGCAUGGGAUCCAAGCCACCUCUGUGACCCCCACCACAGCUUGUGGCCACACUGGAUCCUUAACCCACUGAGCAAGACCGAGGAUCGGACCUGCACCCUCACGACACGAUGUCAGGUUCUUAACCCACUGAGCGACGGUGGAAACGCCUAGAUUUUUAAACUGAGUACUGUUUCUCUGAGAUUUUGUGUCUUUGAAAGAAACUUACCUGUAACUUUAAAGAUUGCGCGAGGUUGGUGAGCAGCUCUGUGCUCACACAGGCGUGUCCAGGGUGCUUGGGAAACCGCACAGCUUUAGUGGGAGGUCAAGUUUCCCAAAGUCAAGGGCUGGACAAGGGGCCUCUCAGUGCACAUCUCGAAAGGCUAAAGAAACGGACAGAACGUUGUAAAUCAACUAAAAUAAAUUUUUAAAAAGAAAAGGAAAAAACAAGCAAAGCAAGCCUAGGUGAGAUAGGCUCGGCUUCAUCGCUGCGCGUGGGUGCUCAGCCGAUGCUGAGCUUGGUGUCCGGCCCGGCCUGCAGCUUUUGCGCUCGGCCCCGGGGUGGGCGAGGAGUGCGGCUGGCCCUCCAGGGCCCCCGAGUGCCUCAGCGCCCGUUGUCUUGUGGGAGCCAAAGUCGGCCUGUCUGUGCCUUUGGCCCGUGGGCGCUGCUGGGUCGGGGGGAGCCUCCUGGACGGUGUUGGGUCCAGGGCCGUGAGCUCCUUGCGAGGGAAACGUAACGGACCCCGAGUGGCGACCCGGUCGUGGCAGACGGAUGAGCUGGUCUCACAUGACUCAGCGACCUUCAGGUCCUGGAGGGACCUGAAGGCCUGUUCUGCUACCGAAUGACUCAGCACGGAGCCCAGCCGCUGCCAGCGUGCGUGGCAGUAGUGAGAUUUCACAGGCCUUCUGCAUCGAAGCCUUUGACAGUGAUGCUUCCUGGCCUCCGUCAAGCCCCCGGGAUGCCCACAGGGUGGCUUUGUGUCAUUGCAAAGGACACUUCGGAAUGUGAGGUGUUUCAAGACGUGUGUUUACUUUGCAAGGGCUCUGAGGCGCCCUUUUCUGUUUUAACAGGCGAGGGAUGCACGCAGGGCUGCCGUUUCUGUCUGCGGAACGGCAACUGUCCCCUCUGCUAAAGAGUCUGGGAAAUAAUGGCUCGGGGUUCCUGAGCGGCGAACAUGUGGCUUCGGAACACAGGAAAUGCUGUUUGGUCUCUCGGGUUGCUGUAUUGCGUGGUUCGACCCCUGGCCUGCGAAGAAAGAAGCCUGGAAUCUGAGCAGCCCUUCCCCUCAUAGGAGGAGAAGGCCGUUGUCUCCCCACGGGGGGCGCUGAGGGGAGCGUGGAUUUCCAGCCACAUUCCUGCUUGGCUUCGGGCACCUGCUCAGAGCCGCUUUGUCCUGCACCCUCGGCGCCACAAUGAGACGGAAAGUGGGGUUGGCCGUCUUGCCUCUCCUGUGGUUCAUGCCUCAGGCAUCAGUGACAAAGUCAAGGUCAGUGCUGAGCCGGAACCGGCCUUUCCUUUUACCGUUACUGCUGACGUCCGUAUUGCAAACAGUGCUCUGCCCAGUGGCAGAAAUGCGGGAAAAGCCGUCCUCGGGGCGCACGCCGCGCUGCGGGCGCUCUUCUGCGGAGGCUCCUCCCUCUCCUUCCUCAACCGGCAGGACCGCUGCCCAGCUUUCCUCCCUGACACAAGGGAGCCACCUGCCCCCAUUUCAGGGGCCCCAGUGGUAUCUUUAACCCAUGAAUUAGAAGCAACAAGCAAUGGAAACAAUUCCUCUUUUCUGCCUAUUCAAAUUCCCAAUUCGCGAAGGUUCUGGCCCAGUUUCCUUCCCGCGAAUUCCCAACGCGCGAAGGUUCUGGACGGGCCAGUUUCCUUCCCGCGAAUUCCCAACGCGCGAAGGUUCUGGACAGGCCAGUUUCCUUCCUGCGUCCUUCGGAAGGACUGCGCCUCUCCACCACGCCCACUGGACAGGAGUUUGUGCUGAAGAUCUGGUGGACGGGAACCGCGCCAGGGUGACAGAAACAGAGGACUCAGCAUCGUGGGGACCGGGGAAAGUCCAGUGGUUGGUGACGUCACAGAGAGGGCCUGUCACGGGCCUGUCUGCGCCUGCUCACCUGGACGCUGCCAAGGCCACUUGCGAGUCACACGUCCCACGGCCGGCACGCCGGUGCCUGGUGAUGUCGUCGCACCCAGUGGCCACGGCUGCACCACUGAUGGAAAUCUCCGUGCAGGGCUGCUGUCCUCGGUGUUACGGGAGCUGUCUUCCGUAAGCCUCAAGCUGAGCUGUGAGACAGAUGACUUUGUGUGUAUCGAUUCAUUCAACUCCAUCUGCGAGGUGGCGUAGCUUUGGCCCAAGGCCAUCGGCUGGUGCGGAAGUCGGAGGGAGUCCCUGUCGCCCGCCCGGCUGCACGGAUCUUAAGCUUUCCAGGGACACUCGUCUCCGCGUAUUAAUCAAGAAAUACGGAAUGAAAUUUUGCAGCAACGCGGAUGGACUUGGAGGGCAUUUUGCUAAGUGAGACAAGCCAGAGAAAGCCAAGUACUGAGUAUCACCUACAUGUGGAGUCUAAAAAAUACAGCGCACUAGUGACCGGAACAGCAGAAGCAGAGUCACGGAGCAGAGAAUACACUAGUGGUUCCUGUGGGGAGGGGGGGCAAGGCCAGGAGAUUAAGAGGUAGGAACGAUUGUUGGUCAGCUACGGGAUUCACUGUUUGGCACCGAGACUAUGGCUGGUAUUUUGUACUAAGUAUACCUGGGGAUAAUCUUUUAAAAUUGUGAAGCACUGUAUUGAACACCGGAAAAUUACAUCAUAUUGUAAAUCAGCUCUACCUCAAUUUUUUUCUGCUUUUUAGGGCUGCACCCACAGCAUAUGGAAGUUCCCAGGCUAGGGGUCGAAUCCAAGCUGCAGCUGCCAGCCUGCGCCACAGCCACAGCCAUGUGGGAUCUGAGCCAUGUCUACAACCUAUACCACAGCUCAUGGCCACGCUGGAUCCUUAACCCACUGAGCGAGGCCAGGGAUCGAACCUGUGUCCUCACAGAUACCGGUCAGAUGCGUUUCCUCUGCACCACAACGGGAACUCCUACCUCAAUUUUAAAGAAAGAAAAGGGAAGAAAAGGAAAAAAAAAACCUGUUUGGACUUUUCCUGUUUAUCUGGCAUGAAAAAUUUAUUCUUCGCAUGAACAACAUGGACAUUGCCAGGAUGUAUUUCCUAGAGAAUGAUUAUGCAAAAUAAGUAAUUUCAUUGUGGAGGAUUGAAGCCUCUGAUGUAAGCUGCUUUCUAGAGAUCUGGUUCCUGAGAAUUGGUGAGUUAAUGAGUCCGGCCGCUGUGUUUAGAUUUAGCAUCAAUUCGGAGAUCACAUAAGAAGUUGCAGAGUCAGUAACAUGAGAUAAAAGGAUCAAACC